rnacentral:rRNA from 1 species
GAUGAACGCUAGCGAUAGGCUUAACACAUGCCAGUCGAGGGGCAGCACAAGGUAGCUUGCUAUCUGGGUGGCGACCGGCGCACGGGUGCGUAACGCGUAUGCAACUUGCCCUAUACAGGAGGAUAACCCGUCGAAAGACGGACUAAUACUGCGUAUGCUCACAACUUGGCAUCAAGUGGUGAGGAAAGAAAUUCGGUAUAGGAUAGGCAUGCGUCCCAUUAGCUUGUUGGUGAGGUAACGGCUCACCAAGGCAACGAUGGGUAAGGGAACUGAGAGGUUUAUCCCCCACACUGGUACUGAGACACGGACCAGACUCCUACGGGAGGCAGCAGUGAGGAAUAUUGGUCAAUGGGCGCGAGCCUGAACCAGCCAAGUCGCGUGAAGGAUGACUGUCUUAUGGAUUGUAAACUUCUUUUAUACGGGAAUAACAAGAGUCACGUGUGACUCCCUGCAUGUACCGUAUGAAUAAGCAUCGGUAAACUCCGU